UGGGGAAUAUUGGACAAUGGGCGAAAGCCUGAUCCAGCCAUGCCGCGUGAGUGAUGAAGGCCCUAGGGUUGUAAAGCUCUUUUGUGCGGGAAGAUAAUGACGGUACCGCAAGAAUAAGCCCCGGCUAACUUCGUGCCAGCAGCCGCGGUAAUACGAAGGGGGCUAGCGUUGCUCGGAAUCACUGGGCGUAAAGGGUGCGUAGGCGGGUUUCUAAGUCAGAGGUGAAAGCCUGGAGCUCAACUCCAGAACUGCCUUUGAUACUGGAAGUCUUGAUUUCGGGAGAGGUGAGUGGAACUGCGAGUGUAGAGGUGAAAUUCGUAGAUAUUCGCAAGAACACUAGUGGCGAAGGCGGCUCACUGGCCCGAUACUGACGCUGAGGCACGAAAGCGUGGGGAGCAAACA
rnacentral:rRNA from 1 species